GAAUUUUAUAUAUUAUAAAAUAUAUGAUGGUAUAGUUGGAAGAGUUUAAAUUAAUUUUAUGAAUAUAUUUAGUUGGGGGGAUUGUUAAAUUAUAUAAACUUUAAUUGUGAGUUAAGACAUAGAUUAAUGGUGUUAAAAGAAUAGUGGUAAAAUUAAAUAAGAAUUAAUUACCUUAGGGAUAACAGCGUAAUAUUAUUGAAGAGAUCAUAUUGAUAAUAAUGAUUGC
rnacentral:rRNA from 1 species